UACGAAGGGUGCAAGCGUUGUUCGGAAUUACUGGGCGUAAAGCGCGCGUAGGCGGUUUACUAAGUCAGACGUGAAAGCCCUGGGCUCAACCCGGGAAUUGCGUUUGAUACUGGUAGACUAGAGAUUCAGAGAGGUGAGUGGAAUUCCUAGUGUAGAGGUGAAAUUCGUAGAUAUUAGGAGGAACAUCAGUGGCGAAGGCGGCUCACUGGCUGAAUACUGACGCUAAGGCGCGAAAGCGUGGGGAGCAAACAGG
rnacentral:rRNA from 1 species